UUUAUUUUUGUAUUUUGGAGUGUCCCACAUUUGGUGUAAAUAGUCCCAAGUUUUCCUUUUCACUAUGUAAAAUAUUACCAAGCUAAUACCAGAACCACUGUCCGGACUUCUUAAAAGCAUAUGUGCCUAUACUAAAGCAUACUGCCACAUUCAGCUUAUUUAACCUUGGCAGUUUGCUUACCACAUUCGGGCUAGGUUACUGCAUCUGUAUGUAUUGGGAGUAGCCUUGUCGGGAUGGGCUCUAAUUGGUGUGUCAUGUGUAUGCCUCACAGCUUUAGUAUACACUUGAUUACAUUUUAUUGAUGUACACAUAUAUAUGCUCCGUUUGAUCUUUGAAGCCUAGCUUUCAAUUUCUAAAUCAAAAUUGUAGACAUAUGUUAUGCUAAAAGACUUCUGUUCUGCAUGCUUUUGUUAUGCACGCUAUAACACAAUUUGAUUUCAUUUAAUCUUUGAAGCCUAGCUUAGUUUUGCUUACAACAGCUUCAGUAUAGACUUGAAUAGAUAUUUUUCCGGUUACUUUUUUAUGCCUGCUUUAAGUAUCGCGUUUCUUCUGAAAUUGACUCAAAUUAUGAUAUUACGUACAGAAGGGCACAAGGAUGAAUUCAACGCAAGAUCCUACUGGUGAUCCAACAGAUGGGAGCCCAACAGACGCAAACACAUCAGAUGCCUAAGAAAAGGACUGGCAAAUAAAAUAGGAAUCCAAACUUGCAAAAUUCUAUUUUACAGACCGCUAGUACUACUGGGACUCUAGGUACAAGGCACAAUGUAAUUGCUCCAAAUACGCUCAUACAAGUUGCAACAAUGAAUUCUCGAAUGUUUUGAGCAAUGGUAAGUCACAAGGUUGGUUUGUCUUCAUGUUGGCCUUUAUUUGAUACGUAAAUGGCCUUCAUAAUGUGCAAUCAUCUACUUGCUUGCACUAUUGUACUUUUUUUGUUGCUGAAGCACAUACAGUAGGGAAGCCAGAAAUAGAACAGUUUUCUCACCAUUAGAAAUUGUGAACUUGUGCCAGCAUGUAGUUGUUUCGGAGAAAUUUAGUUUGAUUAAUUUAGGUAAUUAUUCUUGUGUUUGAACUAAAUCUUUUGUAAAAUUAUCCAAUUCUUUUUGCAUAGCACCUAAUUGUUGAUGGAGUAGUACACCAGGCACAAGAAUUUGCUUGCUAGCUGUUGUGGUCAUGACAAUUUGUCAGGAAGAUACCCAUGCAUGCACGAAUAUAGUAAUUAUACAAUUGUCAUGAUAGUGGUUAUAUCUUUCUGCUAAUUAUUCGUUGUGUUGUUUCUUUAUUUUCCUGACUAAAUAUUUUCUAUUUUCAAUUAACUUGAGCUAAAUAAAUUUCUGAUUUCUUCAUAGCGGGAUCCAAAGAUUUAGCUUGAAUGGACUCUAGACCACGGACAAUUUAAUCUUUGCUCUUAAUUAGGAUGGCACAUUCAGUAUGUUGAAUGCAUGCAAAAUUAUAUUACAGUUUAUUGUGAUGGAUAUUGGGUAUGCAAACUUUGAUGUCUGAUGAAUCUACAUCAUAUAUGCAUUAUUUGAAUUUUGUAA